UUAAAUUGAAGAGUUUGAUCAUGGCUCAGAUUGAACGCUGGCGGCAGGCUUAACACAUGCAAGUCGAACGGUAACAUGAGUGCUUGCACUUGAUGACGAGUGGCGGACGGGUGAGUAAAGUAUGGGGAUCUGCCGAAUGGAGGGGGACAACAGUUGGAAACGACUGCUAAUACCGCAUAAAGUUGAGAGACCAAAGCAUGGGACCUUAGGGCCAUGCGCCAUUUGAUGAACCCAUAUGGGAUUAGCUAGUUGGUGAGGUAAAGGCUUACCAAGGCGACGAUCUCUAGCUGGUCUGAGAGGAUGACCAGCCACACUGGAACUGAGACACGGUCCAGACUCCUACGGGAGGCAGCAGUGGGGAAUAUUGCACAAUGGGGGAAACCCUGAUGCAGCCAUGCCGCGUGUAUGAAGAAGGCCUUCGGGUUGUAAAGUACUUUCGGUAAUGAGGAAGGUGGUGUAUCUAAUAGGUGCAUCAAUUGACGUUAAUUACAGAAGAAGCACCGGCUAACUCCGUGCCAGCAGCCGCGGUAAUACGGAGGGUGCGAGCGUUAAUCGGAAUGACUGGGCGUAAAGGGCAUGUAGGCGGAUAAUUAAGUUAGGUGUGAAAGCCCUGGGCUCAACCUAGGAAUUGCACUUAAAACUGGUUAACUAGAGUAUUGUAGAGGAAGGUAGAAUUCCACGUGUAGCGGUGAAAUGCGUAGAGAUGUGGAGGAAUACCGGUGGCGAAGGCGGCCUUCUGGACAGAUACUGACGCUGAGAUGCGAAAGCGU
rnacentral:rRNA from 1 species